rnacentral:piRNA from 1 species
UAAGUAGGACUGGAGAACCUUUGGAUAAU